GGCCGCGGGAAUUCGAUUCAGGCCUAACACAUGCAAGUCGAGCGGUAGAGAGAAGCUUGCUUCUCUUGAGAGCGGCGGACGGGUGAGUAAUGCCUAGGAAUCUGCCUGGUAGUGGGGGAUAACGUUCGGAAACGGACGCUAAUACCGCAUACGUCCUACGGGAGAAAGCAGGGGACCUUCGGGCCGUGCGCUAUCAGAUGAGCCUAGGUCGGAUUAGCUAGUUGGUGAGGUAAUGGCUCACCAAGGCGACGAUCCGUAACUGGUCUGAGAGGAUGAUCAGUCACACUGGAACUGAGACACGGUCCAGACUCCUACGGGAGGCAGCAGUGGGGAAUAUUGGACAAUGGGCGAAAGCCUGAUCCAACCAGGCCGCGUGUGUGAAGAAGGUCUUCGGAUUGUAAAGCAAUGUAAGUUGGGAGGAAGGGCAGUUACCUAAUACGUGAUUGUUUUGACGUACCGACAGA
rnacentral:rRNA from 1 species